UACGGAGGGUGCAAGCGUUACUCGGAAUUACGGGGCGUAAAGCGCACGUAGGUGGUUUGUUAAGCCAGCUGUGAAAUCCCCGGGCUCAACCUGGGCACUGCAGUUGGAACUGGCAAGCUAGAGUAGGGUAGAGGGGUGUGGAAUUCCAGGUGUAGCGGUGAAAUGCGUAGAUAUCUGGAGGAACAUCAGUGGCGAAGGCGACACCCUGGACUCAUACUGACACUGAGGUGCGAAAGCGUGGGGAGCAAACAGG
rnacentral:rRNA from 1 species